UGGGGAAUAUUGGUCAAUGGGCGGAAGCCUGAACCAGCCAUGCCGCGUGCAGGAUGAAGGCCCUCGGGUUGUAAACUGCUUUUGUACAGAACGAAAAGGUUUCUACUAAUACUAGGAGCUCAUGACGGUACUGUAAGAAUAAGCACCGGCUAACUAC
rnacentral:rRNA from 1 species